rnacentral:rRNA from 1 species
AUUGAACGCUGGCGGCAGGCUUAACACAUGCAAGUCGAGCGGAGAUGAGGUGCUUGCACCUUAUCUUAGCGGCGGACGGGUGAGUAAUGCUUAGGAAUCUGCCUAUUAGUGGGGGACAACAUUCCGAAAGGAAUGCUAAUACCGCAUACGUCCUACGGGAGAAAGCAGGGGAUCUUCGGACCUUGCGCUAAUAGAUGAGCCUAAGUCGGAUUAGCUAGUUGGUGGGGUAAAGGCCUACCAAGGCGACGAUCUGUAGCGGGUCUGAGAGGAUGAUCCGCCACGCUGGGACGGAGACACGGCCCAGACUCCUACGGGAGGCAGCAGUGGGGAAUAUUGGACAAUGGGGGGAACCCUGAUCCAGCCAUGCCGCGUGUGUGAAGAAGGCCUUAUGGUUGUGAAGCACUUUAAGCGAGGAGGAGGCUACUGAGACUAAUACUCUUGGAUAGUGGACGUUACUCGCAGAAUAAGCACCGGCUAACUCUGUGCCAGCCGCCGCAGUAA